GUGCUCACUUUGGUAGCACAUAUGUUAAAAUUGGAACCAUACAGAGAAGACUAACAGGGCCCCUGUGCAAGGAUGACAUGCAAAUUUGUGGCGUUCCAUUUUUUGUU
rfam:Myotis brandtii contig93500, whole genome shotgun sequence.